UGGGGAAUUUUGGACAAUGGGCGAAAGCCUGAUCCAGCCAUGCCGCGUGAGUGAAGAAGGCCUUCGGGUUGUAAAGCUCUUUUAGUCGGAAAGAAAGAGUUGCAAUGAAUAAUUGUGAUUUAUGACGGUACCGACAGAAAAAGCACCGGCUAACUACGUGCCAGCAGCCGCGGUAAUACGUAGGGUGCGAGCGUUAAUCGGAAUUACUGGGCGUAAAGGGUGCGCAGGCGGUUUUGCAAGUCAGAUGUGAAAGCCCCGGGCUUAACCUGGGAAUUGCGUUUGAAACUACAAGGCUAGAGUGCAGCAGAGGGGAGUGGAAUUCCAUGUGUAGCAGUGAAAUGCGUAGAGAUGUGGAAGAACACCGAUGGCGAAGGCAGCUCCCUGGGUUGACACUGACGCUCAUGCACGAAAGCGUGGGGAGCAAACA
rnacentral:rRNA from 1 species